CUCUGAAAGAAACCUAAGCUAAAAUUUGUUUUUUUCUUUUUUUCUCUUUAAUAUUUAACACGAUGCAAUCAUUCAGUGCAUAGCUGAAAGAAUUCAACAUCUCUGUCAGAUACAGAUGUUAUACACAAAGAUUAAAAACUCUAGUUAUACAAUAUCAACUGCAAUAUCAACUAAAACCAGCAAAGUAACUUCUGUGCAAAAUUUCAGAGGCUACAUGGGCAAACGUACACACACACUUGGAGAUUAAGUUGUUUCUGGGGAAAAAAUAAACAAACAACAAAAACAGAACACCUUAGAAUAGAAAAAUAUUAAUAUUUUAUUUAUCCUAGUGGGGCCCCAUAAGUUUUUUAAUUCUCUUCCAAUGAUAAAAUAAUAAUAAUAAUAAUAAACCAUGCAAAUUUAGUUAAUCAAAUUAGUUUAAACACAACAUUUUAACGUACUGCAAAAGUAAGUAUCCCUAUUUACUUUUCAUUAGAUAAUAUAUGGCUACUGAAGCUAUUAUUUGCUUCCAACAUGGAGAAGUACUGUAGGGAAAAGAAAAACAAAACAAAACAAAACAAACAAAACAAAACAAACAAACAAACAAACAAACAAAAAAAAACAGGCAAUGCAAUGUAGAUUAUUGUAACAGAAAAUGAAGACCAUGUUUCUCUCUCCAUGAACAAGUCUUUCAAAUCUGUGCACCUCACACAGUGACUGGUUUAUUUAUUUAAUGGAGACAUCUAUUAAUAUUGUUAUUGUGGACCUUCUGCAAUUAUAAUUUAUGUGAAAUUAGUCAGGAAAACAUUAUAAUGGCAAUAGUUUUGACAUGCCGAUUUGUAUUACCAAAUUUAAUAUUUAUUCAAUAUUAUAUUUGUUUACAACAAUGUUAUUUUCAGAAAUCAAUUAGUUAACAUAUACUGUUCUAAGUUAGAUCACAGACAUGAGAAUCUAACUCUCAAAAUUUAUUAAGGAAUGUAUAUGAUUGCUUGGCAAGAAGUCCCAGUAGGGCACAAGUACCAACAUUUACAGCUGAAUUCAAAUAUUCAGCAAAUGGUAAGCUGAAUAAGGUAUACCUGGAACUAUACCAUUAUGUGGUAUCUGUGAUCUUGGAACAGUAAUUAUACUACUAAGGUUUCCAGUUGUGAAAAAUAAAAGGACUACUAACUCUGUCUAUAUAACAUGACAAUGAACAUAAAAUGUAACAGUUAACUAUAGGAUGUUCAUUAGUUGGAUAUGUUCUGGUUUAUUUUUUUCUAAAUUAUUUCUGAAUGAGUAUUUAUUUCACAUUCCUUAACGUGUACUAUAAGAAUCGCAUGAUAACGUUUUUUUUUCCAUUCACUGAGGUAUGUAAAUUUAGUUUUGUUGUUAAAAAAUAUGUGUGCUUUACAUUAGAUUUAUAAAUUUCAUCAACACAGAGAAGCAACUUGAAAUUAUACACAAAAUGUAAUGACUUGCCUUGCCCAAGAUUAUUGGUACAGGCCCAAAUUUGCCUGUGUUUCCUUUUCAUCCCACGAGUAAUUUAUACACCUGUAGCUGUAAAAUCUUACAUGUACUUUACAAGCCAUGAAAACAGUACUUUUUUUUUUUCUUGCCAGAAGUGAAGAAUAAAGGGAAAAAAAAAAAAAAGUAGGAUUAUGAUUUUGACUCUAAUAAAUGCCUUAGACUAUCAACUUACACAUACAGUUCCCAGUGCUAAAACAAAUGCAAGCUUUGCACAGUCAGAAUGCACAGCAACAUAACACAGCAUCUGGUCUCCUUAGAAAUGGGUAGGGGAAUUUUUCAGAUAACCUAUCAUCUUGGACAAUCUCAUCUAAUAAAAAUAGAUUUUAGAACUUGUGCUUUGAAUCUUUCUACUGUAGCAUGAAAUUUGCUCAAGUGUCAUAAUAUGAUGUCAACCCUUAAAUUGCUCAUAUAAAAUAGCACAUUGCCCUUGGAGCAUGGUUUUAAUUUACACUCACUGUACACGUCAUGAGUGUACAUGUCACUUUACAGCUGGCACACACUGUCACAGUUUGUCAUUAUGGUGGUUCUUAUUACUAUCCAAAUGCCAAAAAUGUACUUGGUAAUUUGCAAAACAAAAGUACAGAGCACUAUACUCAAAUCUGUACUUUCACAUAUGAAAUGAAAUAGUUGGAAAUGAAAAUGCACAAAUUCAUUUCAAAUGUAAGGUUAUUAAUUUUUCAUAUUGUGACUUGAAUCACUGAGCAGAGUCUUUUCUGAGGAAAAUACAAUAGUAUACAAUUAAAUGAGAGAUUAUUAAGGUAUUACAAAUGAUCGUGUAAUUCAUGACAGCAGAGUAAGUAUGGGAGCAUUGCCACUAAUGCUAUCUAAUGUUAGUAUUGAUGUUAUCAUCCUUUAAUUUCUGUAGUAUUUUGAGGCCCAGAGAAAUCUAAAUACUGAUAGACACCUCACAGCUACCUAGGAAAUUGUCAGUUCUUGUCCUUUUAAAAACAAAAAUUCCAUUACAGAGGUGGAACUUGUACAAAAUAAGUCACAGAAUGGAUUGGAUAGAAGAUACUUCUGAUGAUUACCUAGUCUAAACCCAUGCACAGAGUGGGUUCAGCUAGAGAAGGUUGCUUUAAGUUCAAUAAAAAAAGAAAAAAGGACACACUGGGUACAGGUGCUCAGGUGCUGGAAGAAGAUGGCUUGAGCAGUGUUGUGAGGAGAUAGUUCCAGUUCUGACCAGCUUCAACUACACAGUAUGUGUGCAGGGUACAUCUGAUCCCUGCAGCUAAGAAGGUGGCACCUCAGGGAAAGCAUGCUGAAGAAAGAGCAAAAUGCAGCACAGCAGUGGAUAGCAGAGAGAAUUAUGGAAAAAUGUGAGAGAAGCUGACGUGCAGAAAUCAGACCCUGUAGCCAGUAAGGAUAUAGAGCAGGUAUGUGUUUAUUGGUGUUGUGCGUACACCCUGGUGCAAGGGGGGUCGCUCCACCUACCUUGCAGACCACCAGGAGAAAUCGUGCUAUAGAUAUACGUCAAACUAAUACAUAACCAAUAGUUGACAGGAAUUCGGAUACAUAUUCACUAUGUCCCUGAGAACCCAUUACCAUACAGUCCCUUCCCCCCUUGCGCAUGCGUGGUAGGUCGUGAUGAUGAAGGCUUGUAGUCUUCCUCGCUGCAAACUUCUGACCCCGAAGGGGGGCCAUCCCUCAAACCGGUUUCAGCCUGCACUUCAGACAUCUAAUCACCUCCCUGUCAAACGUUUUCGAGCUGUUCACCGGUCCUUAUCUUUAUGGCCUUCAUUCUCCUUGUUAUUCUGGACCUAGCGUCUGUGAAAGUGCUUGGAAUCCCUUGUUUUCUAAUGCUCUCUACAUAAACUAUCUCUAUUUGCCCCUUAUGCCUACCUUGUGAAGCUGCUUUCCCUUUUAUUGCUAUGAGGCCCUUCUUUCUAUACUGCAGGGUCCUGAUUUUGCCCUUCAAAGCAACAUUGUGAAUACUAAAAUCAGGGAAGAAGGUGGAGGAAGUGUGGGUGAAGUCCAGGUGGCGGAGCAAAGGUUCCCUUGAAGCUGAUGAAGACGACCCCAGCGGAGCAGGUUAAUUCCCUGCAGCCUGUGGAAGGGACCAUGCUGGGGAAGAUAUGCACAUUGCAGUUCAUAGAAGAGCAAGUGAAUAUUUCCUGUAGGAACUGUGGCUCAUAAAGAGACCAUGCUGGAGGAAAUCUUUUCCCUGAAGGCAUGCGUUGAGGUACACACAGGAGUAGGGAAAAGUGUGAGAAGGAAGGAGUGGCAUAGAGGAGCUGUCAUGGGCUGAUCAUAAGCCUCCCCUCUCCAUGCUACUCAGGGAUGUGAUGGGGGAGAUAGAAGGGUCAGGAGUGAAGAAGUGAAAGAAGAGAAAUUGAGCCUAUAAAGAAACUGGGGAGGGUUUAAAAAAAAAAAUGAAUACUUUCCUUGUUUCUUCCUAUCCAAAUAUAUUUUAAUUGACAAUAUAUCCUAUCAGUUAACCCGUACUUAAUUAUUUUUUAGCCUGUGAUGGUAGUUGUUAAAUGAUGAUACCUUUGCCUCAACCUACAAGAUUUUUCAUCUUAUUUGCUUCCCCCUGUCCUGUCUGAAGACAGAGAGUGAAAGAGCAGUUGGGUGAGCAUCUGAAAACUAGAAAAGGUCAAUCCAUCAGAAAAAGAAAAUAAAAUCAAAUUGUCCAUAUCAUAAACUUCAAUAAUGCUUUUUCACCCCAGACUGUGUAGUAUAAGGCUAAAAUACACAUACAUUGAACCUGGGAGUAGUACUGUUUAUUAUCAUAACAGAAGCAGCUGCUUCAGCAAAAAACUUCCUGCAUCUCAUAGAAAAAUUACCAGUAGUAACUAAAAAACCGAUAAUGUAAAUUAUUGAAAGAACUGUAUCAAUAACAGUGAAGUAUUAGUAAGAGCUCUCAAAACAAACUACCUUCUUUUACAGUUGGUAUCACUCAGCAUUAAAAUUAAAUAUUAUUUAAUAAUUAAAUUCACAGUAGCAAAGGAAUUAUGACAGCUAUUUAAGAGUUUAUUAUUUAAAUUACAGCAAUAUUUGCAUAGUCUCAUCUUCAGCUUUUCAAACCCUUUUCCUGGGUUAAUUUAAAGAUUAUAGUAAGCAUCUUCAUAAAAGAUCAUUCAGAAGGAGAGAAAUGGGGAUGGAUAAUGAAUAAAGAGGUAGCAGUAGAGUCUUGUUGUCAAAGACUGAAACAUUCUGAUUCUGUAGAAUCAUGUCUGGAGAGAUGUGGAUGUGAUGGGUGGACCACCCAGUGGGUAAGGAAUUGGUUGAAAGGACACAGACAAAGGGUGGUGAUCAAUGGUUCUAUGUCCAGAUGGAGGCCAGUAACAGGCAGUGUUCCCCAGGGGCCUGUCUUGGGACUGGUGCUCUUCAACAUUUUUAUCAAUGACACCAAUAAAGGAAUUGAGUGCACCUCAGCAAGUUUGCUGGUGACACCAAACUGAGUCAUGCAGCUGACACAAUGGAAGGAAGGGUUGCCAUUCAGACACACCUCAACAGACUUGAAAGGUGGGCCUGGGUGAAUCUAAUGAGGUUCAACACAGCAAAGUGCAAGGUUCUGCACUUGGUCCGGAGGAAUCCCAGGCGUAUAUACAGACUGGGAGGAGCACAGCUUGAGGGUAGCCCUGCAGAGAAGGACCUGGUAGUUCUGGUGGACGAAAAACCUAACAUGAGCCAACAGUGUGCUCUUGCAGCUCAGAAAGCAAAUGGUAUCCUGGGCUCCAUCAGAAGAGGGGUGGCCAUGAGGGACAGGGAGGUGAUUGUCCCUCUCUACUCUGCUCUUGUGAGGUCCCAUCUGGAGUACUGCAUCCAGGUCUGGGGCCUCCAGUACAAGAAAGACAGAGAGCUGUUGGAGAGGGUCCAGAGGAGGGCCACAAAGAUGAUCAGGGGGCUGGAGCACCUCCCCUAUGAGGACAGGCUGAGGGAG
ensembl:lncRNA